UAUUUCAUUCUUCUCUGCAACAAUGGCGUAAUAAUGCAAACAAGAAUCUCAAUCAUAUAUCAAGCCUUUUGCCUACCUGGCCUCCUAGAAACCUCUGAUGGUACAACGGCGUCGGAGUUGAGUUUGUGUCAAGGAGGUAUGUCAUUUCCCGGUGUGGUUAUCAGAUAAGUUGCGUGGAUGAAGUACCUCGUUGAUUGGAUGAAGCAGGCGAAAGCAAGGACGAAACAGGUUGUUGGAGGAGGAGUUUCCGAGCCAGGCUCCAAUUACAGAGCCGAGAGUUAAGGAGAUUGAAGCUAAGAAUGUUGCAGCAGAGGUGUUUGUUGAAAGUACAGAGAGAGCCAUAUUUACAUUAGCCUUAUCUACCUGCAAAACCAUAAAUCCAUUUUAAAAAAUUAGGGUUACAAGAUCCGAAGAGUAAUCAGGAAGGUAGAGGACUCUGUAAAGAAGGAUGAGAUGGUAGCAGAACAUGACGAGCAAGCCCAGAGGGACAAAGAACAAAUCAAGGUGCUCUUUCUCAAACAACAUUUUUGUUUAUGUGAUGAUGAUAAUGGUAGUGGAAAAAAAAAAGUACUUGAUAAUAAAGCUUGGAGUUUAAUUAGUUUAAACCAGAGAUGGGAGCUAUUUUGUAGCCAUUGACUUUGCUCAUUUUAUGAAGCCAAGACAACUUGCAAUCUUGUAAUUACAGUUCAUAUGGAAAGAAACUGGCAUUUAAAAAAUUGGAUAUUUAUGAUUGCAAAUGUUAAAUUAUGGUAAGGCAAAACCUUCAGGAUUAAUUCAAUAUGCAUAAUUAAAUCAUAAGCAUGUGCUGUUAGUAAAAUAGAAAAGCAGAUAAAUUCAUAUUGGUAUAAUACGAAUGGACAGAAGACAAUCCAGCCAUGCAAACUCUGGGAUUUUUUUAAAAUAAAUGCUAUCUAUACUCUCAUGCAUAGGGCUGCUGUACUCAAUUGUUAUGUAAAAGUAAA